rnacentral:rRNA from 1 species
UACGGGGGGUGCGAGCGUUGUCCGGAAUCACUGGGCGUAAAGGGCGCGUAGGUGGUUUGAUAAGGGUGUGGUGAAAGUCCGGAGCUCAACUCCGGAUCUGCCGUGCCGACUGUCAAACUCGAGGGCUGUAGAGGCAGACGGAAUUCCGGGUGUAGCGGUGGAAUGCGUAGAGAUCCGGAGGAAGACCGGUGGCGAAGGCGGUCUGCUGGGCAGUUUCUGACACUGAGGCGCGACAGCGUGGGGAGCAAACAGG